UUCUCUUUCCAGCCAGCACCAAGCGAUGGUCAUCUCGGGACAACUGGUACAAGCGCCGCAAGACCGGGGGCAAGAGAAAGCCCCACCACAAGAAGCGGAAGUAUGAGUUGGGGCCCCCGCCGCAUCCACACAAUCCGUGUGCGGGGUGGUAACAAGAAACACCGUGCCCUGAGGCUGGACGCGGGGGGUUUCUCCUGGGGCUCAGAGUGCUGUACUCGCAAAACAAGGAUCAUCGAUGUUGUCUGUAAUGCGUCUAGUAACGAGCUGGUCGGUACCAAGACCCUGGUGAAGAAUUGCAUCGUGCUCAUCGACAGCCCGCCGUACCGACAGUGGUACGAGUCCCACUAUGCGCUGCCCCCGGGCCACAAGAAGGGAGCCAAGCUGACUCCUGAGGAAGAAGAGAUUUUAAACAAAAACGAUCAAAAAAUUCAGAAGAAAUAUGACAAAAGGAAAAAGAAUGCCAAAAUCAGCAGUCUCCUGAAGGAGCAGUUCCGUCAGGGCAAGCUUCUUGCGUGCAUCCCUUAGUGUGGCCCAGCAGAUGGCUAUGUGCUAGCGGGCAAAGAGCUGGAGUUCUAUCUUAGGAAAAUCAAGGCCCGGAAAGGCAAAUAAAUCCUUGUUUUCUGUCUUCA